UGAAAAACAGGAAUCAGUGGUUGUUGUAUCUAUACACUGUCUACUGUUUGCUACUGCAGGCUAACAACUUUGAGUACCCUCAUUUUAUGUGAAAUAGAGGAUCAUACAUGUGGUUUAUCACAA